CCCAGGCUUUGGUUACCCACGCAGCGGCCUGGGAGCAGGGGCCUUUCCGGGAGUCCCCCCGCAACCAGGGUACGGGCAGGAAGUGUUUCUGUACCCCAAAGUGCCAGCGCCUGCUCUGGGAGAACAUGGUCAGGCCACAGCUCUGAGACCAUCCCCCUGGCUCUCCCUGCAGCCCUGGGGGGCCCCCCUGAGGCCAGGAUGGGGUGGGACACAGCCGGGGGCCCCCAAGAAGAGAGGCGGCCGCAGCCCCCCGGGAAAUGGCUACAGAGGCCACUGCCCACCUGGGAAGUGCUGAGAACCCCGCUGGCAGCCAGCCAGCGCCCUCCCGAAGCUUCUGCUUCUGGUCCCGGAGCCCAGCCUGGGGCCUGCGGAGUCCAGGCUGCGGGGUCCGGCUGCGGGGUCCGGCCUGUGGG